rnacentral:rRNA from 1 species
AUUGAACGCUGGCGGCAGGCCUAACACAUGCAAGUCGAGCGGAUGAAGGGAGCUUGCUCCUGGAUUCAGCGGCGGACGGGUGAGUAAUGCCUAGGAAUCUGCCUGGUAGUGGGGGAUAACGUCCUGAAACGGGCGCUAAUACCGCAUACGUCCUGAGGGGGAAAGUGGGGGAUCUUCGGACCUCACGCUAUCAGAUGAGCCUAGGUCGGAUUAGCUAGUUGGUGGGGUAAAGGCCUACCAAGGCGACGAUCCGUAACUGGUCUGAGAGGAUGAUCAGUCACACUGGAACUGAGACACGGUCCAGACUCCUAAGGGAGGCAGCAGUGGGGAAUAUUGGACAAUGGGCGAAAGCCUGAUCCAGCCAUGCCGCGUGUGUGAAGAAGGUCUUCGGAUUGUAAAGCACUUUAAGUUGGGAGGAAGGGCAGUAAGUUAAUACCUUGCUGUUUUGACGUUACCAACAGAAUAAGCACCGGCUAACUUCGUG